rnacentral:ribozyme from 1 species
CAGAAAACAGAAGCACCAGUUUGAAGAAGAAAUCACAACGAAAUUCUUCGUUGUCAACUCCAGGUUUCUUGUUCUGCUUACUAUCCUUGUCUCAUGUUAGUUCGUUUUCACACGCAAAAAUUUCCAGAUUGACAAUUCCACAAGAAAGGGGUAGCGUCAGCAGAAAGAGAGAGAGAGAGAGACACACACACAAAGAGAAAGAGAGAAGUCAUUGACUCAAUGAUAAGCUUCCCCGUUUCCAGAAUGAAU